rnacentral:rRNA from 1 species
CAGCCGCCGCGGGAAUACGUAGGGUGCAAGCGUUAAUCGGAGUUACUGGGCGUAAAGCGUGCGCAGGCGGUUCUAUAAGACAGAUGUGAAAUCCCCGGGCUCAACCUGGGAACCGCAUUUGUGACUGUGGAGCUGGAGUGCGGCAGAGGGGGAUGGAAUUCCGCGUGUAGCAGUGAAAUGCGUAGAUAUGCGGAGGAACACCGAUGGCGAAGGCAGCCCCCUGGGCCAAUACUGACGCUCAUGCACGAAAGCGUGGGGAGCAAACAGGAUUAGAUACCCGCGUAGUCCCUGUCUCUUAUAA